rnacentral:rRNA from 1 species
AUUGAACGCUGGCGGCAGGCCUAACACAUGCAAGUCGAACGAGUGGCGGACGGGUGAGUAAUGUCUGGGAAACUGCCUGAUGGAGGGGGAUAACUACUGGAAACGGUAGCUAAUACCGCAUACCAUCGGAUGUGCCCAGAUGGGAUUAGCUAGUUGGUGGGGUAACGGCUCACCUAGGCGACGAUCCCUAGCUGGUCUGAGAGGAUGACCAGCCACACUGGAACUGAGACACGGUCCAGACUCCUACGGGAGGCAGCAGUGGGGAAGAUUGCACAAUGGGAGAAAGCCUGAUACAGCCAUGCCGCGUGUAUGAAGAAGGUCUUCGGGUUGUAAAGUACUGUAAGUGGGGAGGCGUUACCAGCAGAAGAAGCACCGGCUAACUACGUGCCAGCAGCCGCGGUAAUUC